rnacentral:rRNA from 1 species
UACGAAGGGGGCUAGCGUUGCUCGGAAUCACUGGGCGUAAAGGGUGCGUAGGCGGGUUUUUAAGUCGGGGGUGAAAUCCUGGAGCUCAACUCCAGAACUGCCUUUGAUACUGAAGAUCUUGAGUCCGGGAGAGGUGAGUGGAACUGCGAGUGUAGAGGUGAAAUUCGUAGAUAUUCGCAAGAACACCAGUGGCGAAGGCGGCUCACUGGCCCGGUACUGACGCUGAGGUGCGAAAGCGUGGGGAGCAAACAGG